UGGGGAAUAUUGGGCAAUGGGGGAAACCCUGACCCAGCAACGCCGCGUGAAGGAAGAAGGCUUUCGGGUUGUAAACUUCUUUUAUCCAGGGACGAAGGACGUGACGGUACCUGGAGAAAAGCAACGGCUAACUACGUGCCAGCAGCCGCGGUAAUACGUAGGUUGCAAGCGUUGUCCGGAUUUACUGGGUGUAAAGGGCGUGUAGGCGGAGAAGCAAGUUGGGAGUGAAAUCUAUGGGCUCAACCCAUAAACUGCUCUCAAAAACUGUUUCCCUUGAGUAUCGGAGAGGCAAGCGGAAUUCCUAGUGUAGCGGUGAAAUGCGUAGAUAUUAGGAGGAACACCAGUGGCGAAGGCGGCUUGCUGGACGACAACUGACGCUGAGGCGCGAAAGCGUGGGGAGCAAACAGGAUUAGAUACC
rnacentral:rRNA from 1 species